UCCAUCAAAACAAUUAGGAGACCCCAGGCUGUUGUCUUCUGGAAACUUCCUUCUACCAGCAACAGUUUCCCACCCGCCCAUGCCACUCCCAACAUCCAAAUGGUUUCCAAAGCUGCAGUCAGUUUCCAGGAUGACUCCUCCCAGUGUCAUCCCAAAGCAUCUGAUUCACACAUCCCAGCAGCAGCCAUACCUCAGACCCUGAGGCAGCACAAACAUGGCUCCAGCUUGGAAUAGAAGCAGAUGCUCCCUCCCCAGAGCCAAGAUCACCCAGAAGAAGACCUGGGCACAGGGAAGGAGGAGAAGAUGAGGAGAAGGGCACUCCAGAAGCCUCCAUGUCCCUUGGGAGGGAGAGAAAAAAAGCCUUCUCCACACAGAAGACCGGAUGGUUGAACUGUCCUCUGACCUCCCUGCGGGACUGCUUGUGAGGUGGGCCUGGAGGGACACAGGGUGGCAAGGAAAAGACAUUUUGAAUUUUUAAGUUGUGUGAGACAGCCUGUUGUCGGGCAGGGAAGAGCGCCUGUUUGCCUGAGAGUCAUCUCUGCCUGGAAAACAGGGUUUCUAUCCCGGGCCUGGCUGCAUUUACCCUGGCAACGCUGACGCACAGAGUGUGAUUGGGAUUGGAAAAGGCAACUUGGGGAAACUCAGAGCUGGUGUCUCUGAACCACAAGAAACCCAUCAGGGUGCCCUCGGGUCCGCACUCCAGGCUCCUCGGGAACCUGAAGCCACAUUUGAAAAGAUGAGGUAACUAUGGGGUCGGGCGCAGAGACACGUCUUUUCAAUAUGAAUAAAGAGGAACGAAAUAAUGGCUUCCUCUGUGAAAACUCCACUGGUCUUCCGAAUUGAAAACCGGAUGAAAUUCUGCUGACCGUUAGGAAUUCAGUCUUUAAAAUUGCCAAGCCACUAACCAUCAUAACAGAAAAUUACCAUAUGGAAAAGUUAUCAACAUGUCCUUUUUGGAAGCAGAAAAUCACUGCAAUGUUUAUAAGUAUCAAAAAAAAAUCCAUUCAACAUGUUUCUGGGCAUUUUUCCUCCCAUUGGGGUGAGUACAGCAUUCCCAUUAACAGCAGAGUGAAGUAUUCAUGUUCUCAGAAGUGGCAAUGGGCUAAUUGCAGAUGAAGGACAUAAAUUCUGCUCAAGAGCCCAGGCACGGCUCCCACACCCACACAGCGGCCCGCUCCUUUGGUUCAGGCACUCGGAUGGAAGUGCUGCUUUUUUAUUCCAGAAGCCCUAGUGGGUAGCUCAGGCCCCACACACGAAGGGUCUGGAUAACUAUUAUUUUCCAGCACUUACUGCAACCUUCUCCUGAUCCAGCUGUGAGGGAGUGGGAGGUGCAGGCCCUGGUGGGGUGUGUGUCAGGAUUUAAGUCAAACUUUAUUAUUUUUUUUUUAAAUUGGCUUUUUCUUCUCUUUCUAUGGCAACAGCACACUGCAGAUUGCUUUGAUCUAUCUUUUCAACCAUCAUAGGUUGAGAGUCGGAGUGUGCUACUUACUAAUUGCCAACUGGGACAUCAGUCAGGAGAGCCACACAAACUGUGAUGACAGGCCAGGUGAAGAAGGCCCACGCGCCAACCCCCACCAUCUACGCAGAACGCCAGAGAACAGGUGGACAUUCUGUGAGGAUGUGGCCAUGACCGCCAGCGGCUGCUGCUCUCAUCCUCUGGGUUCCUGCGUGAUUCCACAUUUCAGUUGUAUUGAAAUGAAAGUGGGCAAAAUUCCCCUGAUCUUUCCCCACUGGGCUACCAGUGCAGCUGGGAGAGAGGGUUUGGGGGGCAGAUCUGGGAGAUAAAGACAGGAGAGGGCCAUAGUAGGGUUCCAAGUGGAAAAGCUCUCCAGCAGGUAGCUCAGAACAGAGAGCAGAUAACUGAUAGCUGCUGGUGAAGUCCUGUCCCAAAAGUGAGUGUCCCACUGUAGCAGCUGGCAGGGACUGUGCUUGGAGCCAAGAACAAAGCAUGGGCCACAGUUUAGCCAAGAACACCUCUUCCCAGAGCUGGGAACCCCUGUCUUCCCUGUAGCCCACAUGAACCUCUGACAUUCUAGGUCAGUGAUUCCUUAACCAUAGCGCUCGAGGAUUCUCUGAUCUCAAUAUAGACUGCUCUCGCUGUUUAUUUCUUUCUGGUGAGAAUUCAGCAUCCAUUUUAUGGGAAAAGGAGGAGGGGGUGGGGAGGAAAUGGCCCAGAACUAGAUUGUCCAUGAUUGCUUUGGUUGAAAGUGUAAUCCUGUUCUUGGGAGCAGGGGAUCAAAAUUGUACCCAGGUCCAAAAAAAUAAAAUAAAAUAAUUGAAAACAUUUGUUGCUAUUAUGGGGAUAUUAAACACACAUCCCCAGGAUGAAACAACUGUCUUCUGGAAUAGGAGCCAGAAGCCAGUACCUUCGCAGAGCUCUUCCUGACACCUCACUCGGGAGAAAAGUCCAACCCUUUCCCUGCUUCCCCUCACCAUUAGCACCUGUCCCCUGCAUUAUCACAGGUCGAGUCACCUGUGCGCCUCAGUGGUGGACCAGCAGUGACUCUUCUGGUCCCAUCACUUCUGAGCAGGCAGAGGAAUUCACAUCUCUCUGCCCACAGCAAUCUAAGGAAACUGCCACAAAGGAAGCAAGGAAACAAAAGAAGGUGUUCAGCCUUAAUUUUAAAAAUACAUGUGCAAC